rnacentral:rRNA from 1 species
GUGGGGAAUAUUGGACAAUGGGCGAAAGCCUGAUCCAGCCAUGCCGCGUGUGUGAAGAAGGUCUUCGGAUUGUAAAGCACUUUAAGUUGGGAGGAAGGGCAGUAAGUUAAUACCUUGCUGUUUUGACGUUACCAACAGAAUAAGCACCGGCUAACUUCGUGCCAGCAGCCGCGGUAAUACGAAGGGUGCAAGCGUUAAUCGGAAUUACUGGGCGUAAAGCGCGCGUAGGUGGUUCAGCAAGUUGGAGGUGAAAUCCCCGGGCUCAACCUGGGAACUGCCUCCAAAACUACUGUGCUGGAGUACGGUAGAGGGUAGUGGAAUUUCCUGUGUAGCGGUGAAAUGCGUAGAUAUAGGAAGGAACACCAGUGGCGAAGGCGACUACCUGGACUGAUACUGACACUGAGGUGCGAAAGCGUGGGGAGCAAACAGGAUUAGAAACCCCGGUAGUCC